rnacentral:rRNA from 1 species
CCUACGGGAGGCAGCAGUGGGGAAUCUUGCACAAUGGGGGAAACCCUGAUGCAGCGACGCCGCGUGAGCGAUGAAGCCCUUCGGGGUGUAAAGCUCUUUCGGCAGGGACGAUCAUGACGGUACCCGUAGAAGAAGCCCCGGCUAACUCCGUGCCAGCAGCCGCGGUAAUACGGGGGGGGCAAGCGUUGUUCGGAAUUACUGGGCGUAAAGAGUGUGUAGGCGGUGCUCUAAGUCUGUCGUGAAAUCUCCCGGCUUAACUGGGAGGGUGCGGCGGAAACUGGAGUGCUCGAGGAUGGGAGAGGAAAGCGGAAUUCCCGGUGUAGCGGUGAAAUGCGUAGAUAUCAGGAGGAACACCGGUGGUGUAGACGGCUUUCUGGACCGUAACUGACGCUGAAACACGAAAGCGUGGGUAGCAAACAGGAUUAGAUACCCUGGUAGUCCACGCCCUAAACGAUGCAUAUUUGGUGUGGGUCAUUCAUUUGAUCCGUGCCGGAGCUAACGCGUUAAAUAUGCCGCCUGGGGAGUACAGUCGCAAGGCUGAAACUCAAAGGAAUUGACGG